GGGCUGGGGCUCAGGGGUAGAGUGCUUGCCUGGCAUGUAUGAGGCACUGGGUUCAAUCCUCAGCACCACA
rnacentral:tRNA from 1 species